rnacentral:rRNA from 1 species
GGGCCGCAGUAUUUUGACUGUGCAAAGGUAGCAUAAUCAUUAGUCUUUUAAUUGAAGGCUGGAAUGAAGGGUUGAACGAGGUGUGUACUGUCUUAUUUUAAUUGGUAAUAGAAUUUAAUUUUUGAGUUAAAAAGCUUAAAUUUUUUUGAAGGACGAGAAGACCCUAUAGAGCUUUAUAUAUUUAUUAUUAAUUUAAUUUUAGUUGUUUUAUUAAUUAUUAGUUUGUAUAUUUUGUUGGGGUGACAAUAAAAUUAAUUUAACUUUUGUUUUUAUUUUACAUUGAUAUAUGAUUAUUUGAUCCAUUUUUGUUGAUUAUAAGAUUAAGUUACCUUAGGGAUAACAGCGUAAUUUUCUUUGAGAGUUCUUAUCGACAAGAAAGAUUGCGACCUCGAUGUUGGAUUAAGGAAAGGUUUUGGUGUAGAAGUUGAAAUAUUAGGUCUGUUCGACC